GUACUUUGCAAGUUGUCUGAAGGCAUUUUGAAGACGUUUUGAGCUUUUACAGCAGAACGCAUGCUGUUGUAUCCAGAAUGAUAUUUGCCUUUUUUUGAAAUAAACAAUGCCUUCACGGAAAACUACUGGUUACCACUGUUGCCUCACAGCAGGGAGGUCCUGGGUUUGAACCCUGGCACCCUUUCUGUGUGGACCUUACACUGACAAAAAAAAAUGCUAAGUUAAUGUUGACUGUCUGGGCCGAAGACACUCUUGCCGAAGAGAUUGUUGAUGUCAAGAGUUCCACUUUCUGAUUAAAUAAAGGUCGAUGCCUAAAAAAUGUGCACGUUAGCCAUGCUCUGUGCUUUAAUGCACCUCCCAUCAUGGAUGCUGGCUAUUGAACUGCACUGAUAACAAGUCAGAUGUCCUUCUCCUCUUUUGCACAGAGAAUUAAAUGUUGAUGAUAUAUAAAAAAGGGACUUUUAUAUUAUGAUUGGUCAGAUCUUAUUACAGUUUUCCUCUUCCUUUCUCUUUUAAAUUGUUGUUGCACUGUAUGAUUUUAGCCUUUAUCAAAAAAGAACUGUGCUAAUGUAACUACUUCUUCUAGAGAACCAUGUGUGUUUUCUAUACACUGCAGCCUGAAGACCCAGAAAUCAUAGACAUAGACUGUUUAUUUAUUUAAAAUCUUCUGCUCCAAUUUUCUUUUUUUAAAAAUUUGUUUUGCUGAUAUGAAAUGUAAAAAUUGCAUAAAAUUGUCAUUUUUUAAAAUAUCAUUUAUAUAUUUAUAUAGAGAGCUCAUGCUUAUUCGAAAAAGUCAUACUUUAUUUUAGUAUUCUGAAAGAUUUCUGUACCCAUUUUGAAUUUUUAAAAUGACCUGUGAGACUUCUGUACCUUUAGCAUAACUCUACAUUUAAUUAUUAUUCAAAUUGCAAUCCCGUAAUUCCCCCUGUAGAUUUUUCUUCCAGUAUUACGUUACAUCAAUUAUACAGAAAGUAAUAAAAGCUUGUAUGUGUCUCUUGUGGAAAUAAACAGAAAACCUGCAAUAACGUAAUAAUCAAUAGUCAUAAUCGUAGCAUUAAGAUUGCAGUGAAUCGCUCCCCUACGUUGCAAUGCACUUUUUUACGGUUUACCUUUUUGGAGGAUAUGCAAUUUAAUUGAAGUAAUAAGCUGAUCAGAUGGCUGUUUGUGCAGCUCGCUGUAGGCAGCGGUAUCAAACUAAGACUCUUUUCCGUUAGUUGAACAACCUGUAGGCUGAUCAGCUGCUUAGCAGACUUUAAUCACAUCGUCAUUGUGUGCAAACUCACCCAUGGCGUUUAUAUUCAAAGACAGAUCUGCGUUUCAUUUUAUUUAAAAAUAAAAAUCGGAUUUAUUCCAGUUGGUAAAGUUGCUCUGCUCAAAACAUUACCUCACACUGGUCAUGAUGGAAGGUCCCAUUACUUUGCAGGACUUUGAUAAUGGAUGUGUGAUGGGAUUUGGAUAUAGGACCCACAGAUAAAAAAAACUAAGGGGGACUUAAAGGAGCCGGUCUCACACACCGAGACAUUGAUUCUGCUCCAGGAACAGAUAACCACAAAAAAGAAAAACGUCGACGCCUGUAUCAGAUAACUCACAGAGACUUCAAAGCUGCAUUGUGUUUUAAUAAUGCAUACUACAGAUCUGCGCACUUUGCUCUCUGACACCGCGUUUCUUGAUUUUAGAAGAAUCAUUAAAAGCUAGCUGCGUGAAAAAUGGCCGAAGACUUAGGCAAACAUUUGAGGGGGGAUCCCCGUGCAUAGUAAGUGCAAGAAGUAAUAUCUGAUUUAGUUUAAAGACAGAAAAUAGAGUUUGACACAUAAAGGUUAAAGGUCACUGCAUCCACAGCUCAGUAAAGGCCUGGACAUGUUAAACAAUCUGCCCCCCCUCCCCACACACACACACACCCACCAAUUACUGAGGCUACUGUUGGACCAGGACAGUUAAUCAAGAAGGUCCCCUUUGUCUUUCCUCUUCUGAUAACAGCUGUGCUGGUGUUUUGCAUAUGAAGAGCAAAGCAAAGACACUGACAAGCUUCAACUCAGAGUGCUCUUUUCCAAUUCGACAAAAGUGUUUGUUUGUUUUUCAAGAUUGUUAAUGUUUUGAUUAAUCAUCAGGAGACUGUUUAAAACUCAUCACAUGACUCCCUGCUGUCAUAUUCGCAUUAAAGACGAGUGGCUUCUAAAGUGGCCUCCUUUAAGUGAAAAUAUAACAUAUCUUUCUGCUGCACAUUUCAAUGCAUCCACAUUACUGGAAUGAAACCACAGAGCACUAACACAAAUAAAAUAUAACACUAACACAAUAAAAAUAUAUGCAAAAACACAAACGAAUAUAUAAAAAAUAUAUAACUGUGUAUCGAUAUAUAAAUAUGUGCACAGAAAAGUUGCAGGCUAAUCUUCGUGCUCUACCUUGCUCUGUACAUUUACUGUUUCUUGGGCGGCCAUCAUGUGCCGACAAUCCCAAAACGCAAACAAUCACAUGCACGUCGUAUUUUAAUUAACUGGUUUCGACGAUCAAUCAACUUAGGUGAUAAUGGGUACGUGCGUGGGGGCGGAGUCAAGGGGUGGGGGUACUCUGAGUUAGCCAUCCAGCUGCCGUGACGUCACUGGGAUCACCUGUGGAGGCCUCAGGUGACAGCUCAUAAAAGGUGACCUGAGGUAAACAGGGGACACUCAGAGACACUUCGAGGGAAAGACGAGUGACCUCCAUUCUCAACUGCUGCACAUCCAGAGAUCCAUUCUAGCUGCUGCCAUGUGGAACGACUCCUCUAAUAGUAAGAGCUGCUCUCCAGGUUUGAAAACUUAGAAAAACUAAACUGUGUGUUUUCAGGUUUUUCUACCUGGGUCAAACAGUCCACCAGGUGCAAACAGCACUAAGUGUGGCGUGCUUUUUGCACGCUCAAUCAUCCAGGUUGACAAUUCUUAAAAUCCCAGAAAGUUGAAUCUGUUCAUUGAGACGCAGCAUUUCUCAUCCAAGUGAUAUCUGGAGACUGAUAGAGUCACUUAGAUGAGUGAAGAAACAUUUGUCCUGCUGGAAACACUGCAUCCGGAUGAACAGUCAGCUUCCUGGGACACUGCACAGUGACUCAUACCAACAAGAUCACAAGAAAACUAUUAGCUGGAUUACCACAUUUUACAUCUUUAUGUAGCUGCAAAGAUAGUACAGCAAGAAAA